UGGAGAGAUCAAUACCCUCAGAGGAAACAAGAAUUGGAUGAUAGCACGUGAGGGUCUCUUAGAGGCUGAGAAGCUUGGAUUAUCAAAGGAGCAGCUCUCAAGAAUUCUGCCAAUUGUUGAUGCUACCUCUUCUGACUCUGGCGCAUUCGAUAAUGUUCUUGAGCUUCUUGUCCGAGGUGGGCGAAGCCUGCCAGAAGCUGUGAUGAUGAUGAUCCCUGAGGCGUGGCAAAAUGAUGGAAACAUGGAUCCUGAAAAGAAAGC